rnacentral:rRNA from 1 species
AUGAAGCCGCCGCGACCACCCACGUCGACCGCUUCUCCGACGCCACGCAACACGCCUCCGAGCUCCCCAUGGUCCGCGCCUCCCUCCCCCCCGGCCAGAUUCUCCGCUCCCGGCCUCUAUCGCCCGCUCACAACCCUACCCCCGUGGCUAGGGUUUCGGGCAGGCCUUCGCCGGCGCGUCUCUGGCGGCCCCAGGUUCGUCCCUCCUUCCUUCUUGGCCGGGAUCCACCCCCCCNNNNNNNNNNNUGAUGAGGACAUCAAUACAAUUGUUACACCCACAGCCCCUGCUGCUAUACAUACUGGACCAAUUACUAGAGCUCGUGCACGCCAACUAAAUUACCAGGUACUUUCGUUUCUUGGUAAUGAUUCUAAUGUUCAUGAGAAUAUGAUGCUGCCUAAAUUGGAUACAUUUGUUUUGCUUACAAAUGAAGGGCCUAGCUUGGAGAAGGAUGAACAUUGGAGCAAGAACAAGCAUGGAGAUGAUGGCAUGCGCAAGGGCAACAAGAACGGAGUUACAAGUGAUGAUUUCAGGACUUUGAAGCCACCAUAA